rnacentral:rRNA from 1 species
CCUACGGGCGGCAGCAGUGGGGGAUAUUGCACAAUGGGGGGAACCCUGAUGCAGCGACGCCGCGUGAGCGAAGAAGUACCUCGGUAUGUAACGCUCUAUCAGCAGGGAAGAAAAUGACGGUACCUGACUAAGAAGCCUCGGCUAAAUCCGUGCCAGCAGCCGAGGUACUACGUAUGGGGCAAGCGUUAUACGGCUUUACUGGGUGUAAAGGGAGCGCAGGCGGCCGGCCAAGUCUGGUGUGAACCACCGGGGCCCAACCCCGGGCCUGCAUUGGAAACUGGCGGGCUGUAGUGUCGGAGGGGCAGGCGGAACUCCUGGUGUAGCGGUGAAAGGCUUAGAUAUUAGGAGGAACACCGGUGGCGAAGGCGGCCUGCUGGACGAUGACUGACGCUGAGGCUCGAAAGCGUGGGGAGCAAACAGGAUUAGAUACCCUUGUAGUC